rnacentral:tRNA from 1 species
GGAGUCAUCUACUAAAAGGUUAGGUAACUGCUCUUUCAAGGCAGAAAUCUGGGUUCAAUUCCCAGUGGCUCUA